GCCGUCGCCGCCUCGGCCGGGCCCGCAGCGCCGCGGGGGGCAACGCCGGGCCCCCGUUUCCUCGUGAGGCCGCGUACAGUGUCACAGAGCACCCCCCCAAAAGCCCCGUAUCCUUUCUAGCAGCCCUGCCCGGGGCCUGGGGAAGGCCCGGCCCAUGGCGCAGACCCUCAUUUUACAGAUGCAUAAUGCCUGACGCUGAGCCCUUUGAGCACGCUCUUUGCUCUCCAUGCGGAUGA
rnacentral:lncRNA from 1 species